rnacentral:rRNA from 1 species
CCUACGGGUGGCAGCAGUGAGGAAUAUUGGUCAAUGGACGCAAGUCUGAACCAGCCAUGCCGCGUGCAGGAAGACGGCUCUAUGGGUUGUAAACUGCUUUUGCACGGGGGUAAACGCAGAUACGCGUAUCUGCCUGAAAGUAUCCUACGAAUAAGGAUCGGCUAACUCCGUGCCAGCAGCCGCGGUAAUACGGAGGAUUCGAGCGUUAUCCGGAUUUAUUGGGCUUAAAGGGAGCGUAGGCGGGCGUUCAAGUCAGCUGUAAAAUGGAGCGGCUCAACCGCGCCCCGCAGUUGAAACUGGACGCCUUGAGUGCACAACAGGCAGGCGGAAUGCGUGGUGUAGCGGUGAAAUGCAUAGAUAUCACGAGGAACCCCGAUUGCGAAGGCAGCCUGCCGGGGUGCGACUGACGCUGAGGCGCGAAGGUGCGGGUAUCAAACAGGAUUAGAUACCCUGGUAGUC